rnacentral:sRNA from 1 species
CCCCCAGCUAGGCUGGGGGUUCAAAAAAGCUUUCAGCUUUACCUAUAUUGUAAAAACUCCUUUUGAUUUGUUAGCGUUGAGCUGCGGUCUGGCAACUGCGGUCAACAACAAAUCAAAAG